rnacentral:rRNA from 1 species
CCAAAUUACUCUCGGCAAUGGAUAUCUCUGCUCUCGCAUCGAUGAAGUAUGUAGUGAAAUGCGAUACAUGGUGUGAAUUGCAGAAUCAUAUGAACCAUCGGGUCUUUGAAUGCAAGUUACACCCGAAGCCAUCAGGUAGAGGGCACGUCUGCCUAGGUGUCAAGC